rnacentral:rRNA from 1 species
AAAGUCGUACAAGGUUUCCGUAGGUGAACCUGCGGAAGGAUCAUUA